GUAUUGGCCUACCGUGGCAAUGACGGGUAACGGGGAAUUAGGGUUCGAUUCCGGAGAGGGAGCCUGAGAAACGGCUACCACAUCUAAGGAAGGCAGCAGGCGCGCAAAUUACCCAAUCCUAAUACAGGGAGGUAGUGACAAGAAAUAACAAUACAGGACUUUAACAGUUUUGUAAUUGGAAUGAGUUGAGUAUAAACCCCUUUACAAGUAUCAAUUGGAGGGCAAGUCUGGUGCCAGCAGCCGCGGUAAUUCCAGCUCCAAUAGCGUAUAUUAAAGUUGUUGCAGUUAAAAAGCUCGUAGUUGGAUUUCUGUUAAUAAUUUAUAUAUAAUAUUUAACAUAUUUAUAUAAUAUUAACAUAAUUCAUAUUACUAUUUAUAGUAUAUGAAACUUUACUUUGAGAAAAUUAGAGUGCUUAAAGCAGGCUUUUGCCUUGAAUACUAGAGCAUGGAAUAAUAUUAAAGAUUUUUAUCUUUCUUAUUGGUUCUAAGAUAGAAAUAAUGAUUAAUAGGGACAGUUGGGGGCAUUUGUAUUUAA
rnacentral:rRNA from 1 species